UACGUAGGGUGCAAGCGUUGUCCGGAAUUAUUGGGCGUAAAGAGCUCGUAGGCGGUUUGUCGCGUCUGGUGUGAAAACUCGGGGCUUAACUCCGGGCCUGCAGUGGGUACGGGCAGACUAGAGUGCGGUAGGGGAGACUGGAAUUCCUGGUGUAGCGGUGAAAUGCGCAGAUAUCGAGAGGAACACCUGCGGCGAAGGCGGGUUGCUGGGCCGACACUGACGCUGAUGCGCGAAAGCCAGGGGAGCGAACGGG
rnacentral:rRNA from 1 species